rnacentral:rRNA from 1 species
AACGAACGCUGGCGGCAGGCUUAACACAUGCAAGUCGAACGCAUGCCUUCUGGCAUGAGUGGCAGACGGGGUAGUAACGCGUUGGGACCUACCCCUGUGUACGGCAUAGCUCCGGGAAACUGGUGAUAAUACCGUAUGUGUCCUGAGGGACAAAGAUUCAUCGGCAAGGUAUGGGCCCGCGUCGGAUUAGCUAGGUGGAGGGGUAACCGCCUACCAAGCCGACGAUCCGUAGCUGGUCUAAGAGGAUGAUCAGCCACACUGGGACUGAGACCAGACCCCAACUCGAAGGAGCGGCAGCAGUGGGGAAUAUAUGAGAAGGGGCGCAAGCCUGAUACAGCCAGGCCGGGUGAGUGAUGAAGGGGUUAGGAUUGUAAAGCUCUUUCACCGGUGACGAUAAUGACGGUAACGGGAGAAGAAGCCCGGGCAAACUUCGU